AGGACGAACGCUGGCGGCGUGCUUAACACAUGCAAGUCGAGCGGAAAGGCCCUUCGGGGUACUCGAGCGGCGAACGGGUGAGUAACACGUGAGCAACCUGCCCUUAGCUCCGGGAUAGCUCCGGGAAACCGGAAUUAAUACCGGAUAUGACCUAGGCCGACAUCGGCUGUGGGUGGAAAGUUUUUCGGCUGGGGAUGGACUCGCGGCCUAUCAGCUUGUUGGUGGGGUAAUGGCCUACCAAGGCGACGACGGGUAGCCGGCCUGAGAGGGCGACCGGCCACACUGGGACUGAGACACGGCCCAGACUCCUACGGGAGGCAGCAGUGGGGAAUCUUGCGCAAUGGGCGAAAGCCUGACGCAGCGACGCCGCGUGGGGGAUGAAGGCCUUCGGGUUGUAAACCCUUUCAGCAGGGACGAAGCGAAAGUGACGGUACCUGCAGAAGAAGCGCCGGCUAACUACGCGCCAGCAGCCGC
rnacentral:rRNA from 1 species